CAUAUCAAUAAGCGGAGGAAAAGAAACUAACAAGGAUUCCCCUAGUAACUGCGAGUGAAGCGGGAAGAGCUCAAAUUUAAAAUCUGGCGGUCUCUGGCCGUCCGAGUUGUAGUCUGGAGAAGUGCUUUCCGCGCUGGACCGUGUACAAGUCCCUUGGAACAGGGCGUCAUAGAGGGUGAGAAUCCCGUCUUUGACACGGACUACCAGUGCUUUGUGAUGCGCUCUCAAAGAGUCGAGUUGUUUGGGAAUGCAGCUCAAAAUGGGUGGUAAAUUCCAUCUAAAGCUAAAUAUUGGCGAGAGACCGAUAGCGAACAAGUACCGUGAGGGAAAGAUGAAAAGCACUUUGGAAAGAGAGUUAAACAGUACGUGAAAUUGCUGAAAGGGAAACACUUGAAGUCAGUCGCGUCGGCCAGAACUCAGCCUUGCUCUUUUGCUCGGUGCACUUUCUGGUUGACGGGCCAGCAUCGAUUUUGACCGUUGGAUAAAGGUUGGGGGAAUGUGGCACCUUCGGGUGUGUUUAUAGCCCUCGGUCACAUACA
rnacentral:rRNA from 1 species